AACGAACGCUGGCGGCAUGCCUAACACAUGCAAGUCGAACGAGACCCCCGGGUCUAGUGGCGCACGGGUGCGUCACGCGUGGGAACCUGCCCUUAGGUUCGGAAUAACUCCCCGAAAGGGGUGCUAAUACCGGAUAAUGUCUUCGGACCAAAGAUUUAUCGCCUUUGGAUGGGCCCGCGUUGGAUUAGCUAGUUGUUAGGGUAAAAGCCUACCAAGGCGACGAUCCAUAGCUGGUCUGAGAGGCUGAUCAGACACACUGAGACUGAGACACGGCCCAGACUCCUACGGGAGGCAGCAGUGGGGAAUAGUGGACAGUGGGCGAAGUGCUGAUCCAGCAAUGCCGCGUGAGUGAUGAAGGCCUUAGGGUUGUAAAGCUCUUUUACCCGGGAUGAUAAUGACAGUACCGGGAGAAUAAGCUCCGGCUAACUCCGUG
rnacentral:rRNA from 1 species